rnacentral:rRNA from 1 species
UACGAAGGGGACUAGCGUUGUUCGGAAUCACUGGGCGUAAAGCGCACGUAGGCGGAUAUGUCAGUCAGGGGUGAAAUCCCGGGGCUCAACCUCGGAACUGCCCUUGAUACAGCAUAUCUUGAGUCCGAUAGAGGUGGGUGGAAUUCCUAGUGUAGAGGUGAAAUUCGUAGAUAUUAGGGAGAACACCGGUGGCGAAGGCGGCCCACUGGAUCGGUACUGACGCUGAGGUGCGAAAGCGUGGGGAGCAAACAGG